rnacentral:rRNA from 1 species
UACGAAGGGGGCUAGCGUUGCUCGGAAUCACUGGGCGUAAAGCGCACGUAGGCGGCUUGCUAAGUCAGGGGUGAAAUCCUGGAGCUCAACUCCAGAACUGCCUUUGAUACUGGCGAUCUCGAGUCCGGGAGAGGUGAGUGGAACUGCGAGUGUAGAGGUGAAAUUCGUAGAUAUUCGCAAGAACACCAGUGGCGAAGGCGGCUCACUGGCCCGAUACUGACGCUGAGGUGCGAAAGCGUGGGGAGCAAACAGG